rnacentral:rRNA from 1 species
GUUCAGAUUGCAGUCUGCAACUCGACUGCAUGAAGUCGGAAUCGCUAGUAAUCGCGGAUCAGCAUGCCGCGGUGAAUACGUUCCCGGGCCUUGUACACACCGCCCGUCACACCAUGGGAGUCGGAAAUGCCCGAAGUCUGUGACCUAACCGUAAGGAAGGAGCAGCCGAAGGCAGGUCGGAUGACUGGGGUGAAGUCGUAACAAGGUACC